rnacentral:pre_miRNA from 1 species
UUUUAUGGAUGAGAAAAAAAAAGUGGCUUCUUGAGAUGGAAUCUACUAUUGGUAGAGAUGCUGUGAA